rnacentral:misc_RNA from 1 species
GAAAUUCUUGAAUCAAAUUUCUUACUUUUUCUGUUAAUUUCUGGUUCUUUCUUCUAUUUUUCUUCUUAGUUCCUGAAAUUCUUGAAAAUUUUCCCCGUAUUCUUGAAGUUCUUCUUCCUAUUUUCUUGAUUUCCCCCCAAAAAUUUCCUUUCCCUAAGUUCCUAUUCUGCUUUCCAAGAAUAAGAUUUCUACCCUUUCUUGAUUUUCUUUGCUUCUUUAAGUUCUUCACGUGUGGGCUUUGCUUCCAAUUCAUUCCACUGGUGUCGCAAGAUGACUAGAAGUGUGGUGGUGAAUCAAGAAGCUGUUAGGGUUGCGGAACUUGAAGAGCAAGUCCGGAAUUUGCAGUCAGUUGUGCAGAGGAAUACUAAAGAUCUGAAUGUGUUGAAAGAUGAAAUGAAAAAAUCCAAUAACGAAGGCAGUGAGUUUAGGGAGGAGGUGCGAGCCUUUAUGAGCAUUGUAUUGAAAGGAAUGAAAGGAAAAGGAAAAGAAGGUUGUCAUAGAAGUGAGAAGGUUUUUGGAAUGGGGAAUGGAGUCUCAGAAAACAGGGUUCUUGAGAACAGGGAACUGUUACCCAAUCCAAAUUUGGGUUCUGUGUCUCAAUUGAAAGAUCAAGGUAACUCUGAAAGCACUUCUAAUGCUGAUGAUGUUAAAUCUAUGUUGCCUAAGAUAGAGUUAGUUACCUUUGAGAGCAAAAAGCCUAGGGCAUGGCUCAGAAAAUGUGUCAAGUAUUUUGAGGUUUAUAAAGUGCCUUUGGAUCAAAGAGUGGGGAUAGCAAUUCUGUUUUUAUUGGAUAGGGCUGAUGCUUGGUUCCAUAAUUGGGACAAGAGGAAGGUCCAUUCUUGGGAAGAAUUUGAGGAGGAGAUUUGUAAUAGGCUUGGUGAUGAGGGAAUGGAGGAUAUGGUUGAGGAAUCCAUGAAAUUAAGGCAAGAAAACACUGUAGAGGAAUAUCAGGAUGUCUUUGAAGACCUGAGAAUUAGAAUGGAGAGACUCAUGCCUGAAUUAGGAAAGAUUUAUUUCUUGUCUGGAUUUAUUGAAGGGUUAAAAGAUGAAAUUAGGCUUAUGGUAAGGAUGAUGAGACCUGCCACUUCGUCUCAUGCAUUUGAAGUUGCUAGAUUUCAGGAGCAGCUCCUUGGAAGUAGUGGAGGAGUUGAUUACAACCCUAAACCAGUUUGUAAUACCUUCAGCCCCUUCGCAACAAAUACUGGUCCUAAUCCUCCAGCUAUGCCAUACGAAAUUUCACAGUUGCAUUAGAAUUUUCCCCAUUGUCCAAAGCCAACAAACACUAAUGCCACUGCAACUUUGAAAUUCCAAAAAACAAUCAGCAAAACCAUUCCAUCCAGGUGUAGUCAGUCUUCAUCUAACCAAUCUGCAAUGAAAAUACCACCACAACACAAUUCAGCUGGCUUA